CAGGAUCCGAUCCUCGCCUUGGAUGCAGAACCUGUUGAUUCAUUAAUAGAAUCUAACUCCUGUCGGGGCUACGAAUUCACUAUUAGAAUCCGAUCCCAACCCGGACUACGGAGUCUAACCUGCAAAAAAGGAAAACACUCUGCAAAACAACUAGAUUAGUCCAUAAACGCAUAUAUUAAUUAUUGAACUUACCUGCGAUUUACCUCUCGUGAAGCUCCUCCUUUGCUCAAUAAAUCCUUGGUGAAUCUGGCCAAAGCGACAGAAUUCACCAUGCUCAAAUUUUUCGACGACUUCUGGCCGAAGCGACAGAAGUGUCGGGAGAGCUUGUAAUACUCCCCCCUGAAUUUCGACGACUUCUGGCCGAAGCGACAGAAGUGCCGGGAGAGCUUGUGAUACUCCCCCCUGAAUUUUGACGACUUCUGGCCGAAGCGACAGAAGUGCCGGGAGAGCUUGUGAUACUCCCCCCUGAAUUUCGACGACUUCUGGCCGAAGCGACAGAAGUGCCGGGAGAGCUUGCGACACUCCCCCCGUAGGUUGUGCUCUGUUGAUGCACAACUUUUGUGAAGAGUGUUUUUCGAUUUAUGGGAUUGUCGGUAAACGACCAAUCGCAAAAACUCGACACUCCAAGGUUCCCUUGAAACUUGGAACCUUAAGGGGAGAGUUUGUGAUACUCCCUCUCAUAGUGUGAUGACCUCUGGCCGGAGCGACAGAAGUGUUGGGAGAGUUUUU
rnacentral:lncRNA from 1 species